GUUCUCGGGAGAGGCGAGCAGACGCAGAUAGAAAUUUGUAUUUAAAAAAAGAAAAAAAAAAUGAAGAAAGAACAAAAGCGGCGCUGCGGAAUCCCUUUCAUGAGCCGGCGCGUUGAAAGGCGAACUCGGGCGUGCAGUCGACGGGGGAGGGGAGUGAACAACCGCCGUGCUCUUAAGGAGCACGUUCCGCGUCCGUGUUGAAAACAAAAUGUUGACGCGAGCAUGCAGUAAGUCUUCGGAAUCCAGAAAUCGCUCGGUUCGCCACCCCCGCAAUAGCGGCAAUUUGCGAAGUAGCGACCACAUAUUUGAACAUAUUAAAGCUGCGUGAACUUCCCCCUCCUCCUGUUAUUCUUCCCAACGCUGCGAUUAAUCUCGACCAUGCACUCCUGAACACUUUGUAUAAUCCACAGUGGUACAUUUUCUUCCUUGUGAAAUGAGAUAUGCUAUAUGAGAUAAUAUGCCUCCAUGUCAAGUUCAGAGCUGACGAGUCCUGGGUAGAGUGUGCCGUUCUACUCCAAUGGAAUCACUUGUGUUUACAUGACCUUUGACCUCCACUUUUCCCUUCCGUCCCGUUCAAUCGGCGUUUGCGUUCUUUAUUUUCGCCUGUAAGUCCGUCACGGGUACGUUUAGUCGUGCGUUUCACUCGAUGCCGGCGUACUCACCGCCGCCACCGAGCGCCAACGCGUUGCUCGGCCCCGUUUGCGGCGUGAUGAAAAACGAAGAUGGCGCCAAAAUUAUUUGCUGACGGCUGGCACUUCUCGUGUUACUGUUACAUUUUUUUUUUUUUUUUGAAGCGAUGCCAAUCAUGUCAGCAAUGGCGAGACUUGCUCAAAAGCUGAUAUUGUCAAAUAAAUUAGCAAUUGCGGUUCUAUCAUAGCGCGCUCUUCGUUUUGGCGCGCGACUCGAUCGCGCGUCCUCCGCGCUCCGAAGCGAGCCGGCGCGGCGCUAAUGUGCCUUUAAAGCGUAUUAAAAGGUUUGAAGGGCCGCACUCAGCGGGGACACCGACGCCGCUCGUAAUCUCAAUUAUUGAUGCCGCGCUCUGAGCGGGCACGACGUCGCUCGCUCUCGCUCUCUCAGAACAAACAACAAAAAAAAAAAAAACCAAAAAAAAAGAAAAGUCUCCGGACGGCUUUGGUGUUCCGACGAGGGUUCUGUCUGGGAAUGUUCCUGGACGGACGCCGAUGUCCGUCUUUGGGUUUCAAGUUGCUUCCUUCUUUCCAUCCAUUUCUGCUUCUCUUUGCGCUUCCUUUCAUACGGCGCCUCUCCUUCUUUUCAAGCUCCCGUACUUCCUUUCUUUCUUCCUCGGGUCCUUCCUUCUCUCCUUCGCGUGAGUCCGUCGGGCCGAAGACGGCGCGAAUCGCCAACCUGUAAUUGCCUGAGCCGAGCAGCAAGCGGAUUUUUAUGGGGGGCCUUCCGGUCCUUUCUUGUGUGUUUGGGUUUUUUUUUGGGGGGGGUUUCUUUUAUCUAUUAUUUUUUUCAGCGUCGUAAUGAAAAGAUGGCUGGGUGGCAAACCGCAGCAACGCCGCCGCGCUCGCUUGGGAGAAGAGAGCGCCAUCCAGGAAAAACAUUGUUAAUUACGGUUGACAGGUAUCUAUUAGAGCGCAUUCUUAGACCUCGGAGGCCCGAUCACGAUCUCAGCUGUGGCCCGGGUUGAUCCGAGUGGAUUUACGCCACGCGGUCGUCGUUUAACGCCAAAUAUCGUCACGUUGUGUUACAGGUACUCCUCGUACAUGUUUUGGGAUUUUGGCUCUCGUUUUCAAGCAGGUGUAGAAAGUCCAAAUAUUUGAAAACCAGGAAAGGUGGAUGUGAAAUCUCGGUCCAAAAGUGGAAGGGGUGUUGAAGAAGGACAGGAAGUGACGCGUGGAGGAGGAGUUGAGAGACCGAGAGAGAAAGAAAGCGGGAGGAAGUGGAAGUGCGAGUGGUCGUUUGAAGAAAAGAAAAGUUAAAGGCGGACAUUUAGCAACACUGAUCAACGUGUUCGACAAGGACUGUUGACAGUUUAGUUGUGAUCGUGUGUCGUUUGAGUGGACUACUCAAAUCACGCCGUAACGUGGUGGAGUUAGCCGCUAAUGCAGAGGCUAAGCGGAUGCACGGGACUUUGCCAGGACGCUAGCGACAAGCUAACCCGAAGCCAGCGAGGCCCGUGUUGGAUCACGAGGAAGAAGACGAGGACGCUAGCGACGAGCAGACGCUAGCGAAGCCUGCAUUGGCGCAACAGGAAAAAGCUUCGCAACGGAUCGGACCGUGAGGACUUGGGUGAGGCCGGACCAUUGGACCCAACCCUCGACGUUCGUCAGUCCUGCCGCUUGGAACACUGCAGGGACCUCGGGGUUUGAAUUUAUUUUAUUUUAUUUUGCCGGCUACGUUCAUAUUUGUAUGGGCCCGUAAGUUAGGCUAGCUUAGCUCACGUGUGCAUUGCGUACCUCUUAUGUUGACUUUAUUUGAAUGAGUGUUUGUUUUGUAUACAUGUGUGAUUAAAUGUUCACAUUUUUUGUUACAUAA